GCCUGGGACAGCUCAGUUGGUAGAACAUGAGACUCUCAGUCUCAGGGUUGUUGGUUUGAGCCCCACUAUGGGUG